CUUAACUAGCCCCUAUAACUUCCUGUCACUUGCUCCAAACUAAAACAUUACAAGAUUCACCACUGUGUGUGAUUCUCAGCUAUUCACCUUCUCUUAGCAAUUUUCCCUUGGUUUGGUAAUGAUGAGACACCAACAAUAAAUAUUUGCAGAGGAAGUUCAGAUUCAAAAAUUCAUCUUUCUCUGAUGAAGUAAGGUAAAGGUACCACUGCCAACUGACUGAAAAUUUUGAAAAAAGACAAAGUCUGGGGCAAUUUGACAGCCCAUAAAUGAAUCAUCUUCUACAUAGUUUUAAAAAACUAUAACUAAAACUAUAGUUUUAAAAAAACUGUAUAACUAAAAGGUCUUUUACUGGGAUUGGAAUUUUGUGCAUCUAUUUGGCUGGACAUAGUAUGGACACUGGGCCUUCUAAACCAAGGUUUCAUGGAAAGAAUUAACCCCUAAUUCCUUAGGCAUCUCUUGUAUGUAAUAAAUUACCUAGUAUCAUUCAAGAAAUAUGUAUAGAGAAAAGUCAGGUGCCCUCCAGAAGAGUCCCUCAAAUCAUUUUCUAUGUUCUGUGAUUUCAGACGAGAAACCCCAGCUGAGGAGGCAAAUAUACUCAAGGAAAGUAAUAGUUUCCAAAUGCCUGGCAGUGCCAGGAAGGGGCCAUGUCCAUGGACCACUAUGUAAGGAUAUCUCAGUCUCUAGUCCAGCGUGGUUUAUGGUGCCAAAUAAGUGCCAGGUGAACUCACUACAUCUGACAAAAUCUCAAGGAACCAAGUUUACCAGAUAAUAUUUAUGAUUAUGUGAAAAAGACUGAGGAAAUCACUCAAGUGAUCCAUCAUACAGCACCUCCAGUUCCAAAGAAUACUGACUUACUUCAGCUGUACUGGUCUGGAGCUGCACAUUCUUUUCAGACAACUCUUGUUCCAGUGACUCUUCUCCUGUAACAGAGCCUCCUUCUUAGAAACUAUGGCCUCCCGUUUCUUUAAGUCUGCUUCCAGCUCCUCUAAUUCUUGGCGUUGGUUCAGAACUUUCUCUACUUCUUCAUCUAACCAUUUCUUUUGCUCAUCCAAUUUCUACAUUAAAAUUAAAAAAAAAGUUACUUGUUUUUCCUUCUGCCAUAAAAAUUAUAUGGUAAUAAUAGAAUUUCAGAUUGGCUGAAAUCUCUUAAAUGAACAUUUAAAAACUAUCACUCAGAGUAACUCAGGUAGCCGUCUGAGAUCCUAAAGACAUCAGUGGUUCUAGUCAAGAUGUAGCUAUGUUGUUUUAUAAAGAAUUAAAAUUUACUCCCCAGAUAUGUUAAACAGUCUAGGAUUUUUUAGCCUGACGAAGAAAGGGCUGAUAAUUUUCUAUGCCUAUAUUAAGAACAUGCUGGAAUCUUUUACUCUGUUGUAGUGGUGCACAGUUCCAUCACAGCACUUACACUGGUGGCUGCCCUACGUAUCUAUCUCCCCA
rnacentral:lncRNA from 10 species